rnacentral:rRNA from 1 species
AACGAACGCUGGCGGCGCGCCUAAUACAUGCAAGUCGAGCGAGAAGACGUAGCAAUACGUUUGUAAAGCGGCGAACGGGUGAGGAAUACAUGGGUAACCUACCCUCGAGUGGGGAAUAACUAGCCGAAAGGUUAGCUAAUACCGCGUACGCUUCUUGGACUUCGGUUCAGGGAGGAAAGCGAUACCGUGGGUAUCGCGCUCUUGGAUGGGCUCAUGUCCUAUCAGCUUGUUGGGAGGUACGCUCACCAAGCUCGACGGUAGCUGGUCUGAGAGGACGAUCAGCCACACUGGCACUGCGACGACGGG